UGGGUAACCUGCCUCAAAGAGGGGAAUAGCCUCCCGAAAGGGAGAUUAAUAUCGCAUAAUAUGUUUAAGUCGCAUGACUUUAACAUCAAAGGAUUUUCUUUUAGAAAUUCCACUUUGAGAUGGACCCGCGGCGCAUUAGCUAGUUGGUGAGGUAACGGCUCACCAAGGCAACGAUGCGUACGCCGACUGAGNGGUNAGCGCANGUAGACUGAC
rnacentral:rRNA from 1 species